ACUCAAAUGAAUAGACGGGGGCCCGCACAAGCGGUGGAGCAUGUGGUUCAAUUCGAAGCAACGCGCAGAACCUUACCAGCCCUUGACAUGGGUGUCGCGGGAUCCAGAGAUGGAUCCCUUCAGUUCGGCUGGACACCACACAGGUGCUGCAUGGCUGUCGUCAGCUCGUGUCGUGAGAUGUUGGGUUAAGUCCCGCAACGAGCGCAACCCUCGUCUUCAGUUGCCAUCGGGUAAGGCUGGGCACUCUGGAGAAACUGCCGGUGACAAGCCGGAGGAAGGUGGGGAUGACGUCAAGUCCUCAUGGCCCUUACGGGCUGGGCUACACACGUGCUACAAUGGCGGUGACAAUGGGUCGCGAUCCCGCAAGGGGGAGCUAAUCUCAAAAAGCCGUCUCAGUUCGGAUUGCACUCUGCAACUCGAGUGCAUGAAGUUGGAAUCGCUAGUAAUCGCGGAUCAGCACGCCGCGGUGAAUACGUUCUCGGGCCUUGUACACACCGCCCGU
rnacentral:rRNA from 1 species